GUCGGACAGCUUGAGAGAUUCGAGUGUGCCUUCGGGACUCUGAGACAGGUGCUGCAUGGCUGUCGUCAGCUCGUGUUGUGAAAUGUUGGGUUAAGUCCCGCAACGAGCGCAACCCUUAUCCUUGUUUGCCAGCACUUCGGGUGGGAACUCCAGGGAGACUGCCGGUGAUAAACCGGAGGAAGGUGGGGACGACGUCAAGUCAUCAUGGCCCUUACGAGUAGGGCUACACACGUGCUACAAUGGCAUAUACAGAGGGCAGCAAGACCGCGAGGUGGAGCGAAUCCCAGAAAGUAUGUCGUAGUCCGGAUCGGAGUCUGCAACUCGACUCCGUGAAGUCGGAAUCGCUAGUAAUCGUGGAUCAGAAUGCCACGGUGAAUACGUUCCCGGGUCUUGUACACACCGA
rnacentral:rRNA from 1 species